CCCGCCGGCGACCGGCGCACGGGUGAGUAACACGUAUGAAACCUGCCCGUAGCAGGGGGAUAAGCGGAAGAAAUUCCGUCUAAUACCGCGUAACAACCCAUGGAGGCAUCUCCUGUGGGUUUAAAGGAAGCGAUUCCGGCUACGGAUGGUCAUGCGUCGCAUUAGCUUGUUGGCGGGGUAACGGCCCACCAAGGCGACGAUGCGUAGGGGUUCUGAGAGGAAGGUCCCCCACACUGGUACUGAGACACGGACCAGACUCCUACGGGAGGCAGCAG
rnacentral:rRNA from 1 species